UCCCAGACUCCUACGGGAGGCAGCAGUGGGGAAUAUUGCGCAAUGGGCGAAAGCCUGACGCAGCGACGCCGCGUGAGGGAUGAAGGUCUUCGGAUCGUAAACCUCUGUCAGCAGGGAAGAACGGUCACUGUGCUAAUCAGCAGUGAAUUGACGGUACCUGCAAAGGAAGCACCGGCUAACUCCGUGCCAGCAGCCGCGGUCAUACGUAGGAUCCGAGCAUUAUCCGGAGUGACUGGGUGUAAAGAGUUGCGUAGGUGGCAUAGUAAGUAGCUAGUGAAAUCUGGUGGCUCAACCAUUCAGACUAUUAGCUAAACUGCUAAGCUCGAGACCGUUAGGGGUAACUGGAAUUUCUAGUGUAGGAGUGAAAUCCGUAGAUAUUAGAAGGAACACCGAUAGCGUAGGCAGGUUACUGGGACGGUUCUGACACUAAGGCACGAAAGCGUAGGGAGCAAACGGGAUUAGAUACCCGUGUA
rnacentral:rRNA from 1 species